GGCCUCCUAGCUCAGCUGGUAGAGCAUACGCGUACAAAGCGUAGGUGGCGUCCAUGCGUUGGUUGGAAUCCCAUCGAGGUUA
rnacentral:tRNA from 1 species